GCAGGCAUAGCUCAGCUGGUAGAGCGCAACCUUGCCAAGGUUGAGGUCGCCGGUUCGAAUCCGGUUGCCUGCU
rnacentral:tRNA from 1 species